rnacentral:tRNA from 1 species
CGGGACGUAGCGCAGCCCGGUAGCGUACAUGCAUGGGGUGCAUGGGGUCGCUGGUUCAAAUCCAGUCGUCCCGA